GUCUAUGGCCGUACCACCCUGAAUGUGCCUGGUCUUGUCUGAUCUCGGAAACUAAGCAGGGUUGGGCCUGGGUAGUACUUAAGCUGGAAAAAUGCACACUCUCAGGCCCCACCCCAGACC
ensembl:rRNA 5S_rRNA 5S ribosomal RNA